rnacentral:lncRNA from 1 species
CCUAUUUAGGUGCAUUUCAUUAUGAAAUUUAUAUACAAUAUACAAUCAUACUAAGACUAAGACUAGUAGCACUUUAUAAGAUGUAAACCAUAAUAUUGAAAUAUAGAAUUUAUCAUCAGUCACAGCUCACAAGUAUUUAACCAAACUCUUCUAGUCCAAAUUUGAUUAUGCACAAAAACUAAAUUCCCUAGUGCAAGUAACUCCUCAUCUCAUCAAACCAACUUGAAAACCUUAUUGAACUAUUAAGCAUAAACUAUAUUUGUUUCUAUAUUCAGUAUAUUACCUAUGUCCUUGUGUAUGUCUCAUAAACAAACUGUGCAGCCAGCAUAUCAACAACAGCAGAACCAACAGACUUAAAAACAGUAAUUUCCUCUGAACUGCUUCUCCCAACCUUAUCACCUCUAAUAAGCUCCAAUAAAUUCCCUCCAAUUUCAUCUUCCUUGAUCACUCCCCUUUCAAAAGCACCAACCAGCUCCCCUGCUUCAACCAAUGCAGCCUCAUUGUCAACAAAAACUUUCCCCCUUUUCAAAGCCUCAUCAUCACAUUCCUUCAUCGAAUGCUUAAACGAACCAACCAAAUCCAAAUGAGCUCCAACUUUCAACCUCUCACCCUUCACAAGCGCUGCCUCCGAAUUAGUAGCACAGCUCACAAUAUCCCCAAAUCCAACAACCUCAUCCAAAUUCCCACAACCCUCAAAACUCAACCCUGAAAGUGGAAACUCAUCACUUUCACUCAAUUUUUUCGCCAAAGUUUUCGCCUUUUCAACGGUCCUAUUCCAAAUAAACACUCUUUUCAAACUGGGUCUAGCUGAAAAAUGAGCUUUAAUCAAAUGAGGUGCCAGAGCCCCAGCACCAACCAUAACAAGAAUCUCACUAUCAUCUCUAGCUAAAUACUUAGAAGCCAAUCCAGAAACACAAGAGGUUCUAUAAAGUGUAAGUUCAGUGGAAUCCAUUGAAGCUAGGGUUUGACCAGUUGUUGAAUUGAAAAGGACAUAGCUACCUUGAACACCUGGUAAAUUCUGUGAAGAGUUUUCAGGGAAAUGGGUCACGAGUUUUACACCAAUAUAAGGGAAAGAAGGCGUGGAAGACCAAGAUGGCAUGAGAAGGAGGGAAGAUGAAGGAGAGAGAUUGUAGUGUUGGCGAAUUGGGGUUUGGAGAAAGGUUGAAGCUUUAGGGAGAUUGGAUUGGAUGUGGUUGAUUAGGGUUUGAUGGGUGAGGAUGGUUCGUAGAUUUUCAGUGGAUAUGAAGAUUGGAGAAGAAGACAAGGUUAUUUGAUCUUUGUUGGUGGAAGCCAUUGAUGAAAAAUUGGGUAGUUUGUUUCUGGUUUUAGAGUGAUUAUUAUUACUUUGGAAUUGGACUCUAAUAAUGUUAUUGUUAUUGGUAAGAUUUGUUAUUUUGUGAGGUGUGAUUGGUCUUUGUAUUUCACUCAUACAAUGUGAGAAGGGAAUGAAUGUGAUUAUUGCUUGGCUAAGCAUGGUGGUGGGUGUUAAUUUGAAGAUUUGAGACUUCCCUUCUUCAAAUUGUCACUACUACAAUACUAAAAAUUGUUGACUUCCAUUAAAUUAGUGGUUGAGAUGUGAACAUAACAAAUUUCCUUGUUCUGGAUUUUAAAGAUACUAUGCUAUAAUAUUAGUUUUGAUUUAAUUUUACCAUUCGAAUUUUAACUUUUAAAUUAAAGUGCAACACCAAAUCGACUAGAUUAACCUUAAGUAAGAUCUUGGAUUUGAGUUUAUGGAUUGAAAAAAGUGGUUUAGAGAGAAGACUUAAUCCGUCAUAGAUAAAGAUAAUGGAUAUUAACUCAUUUGGGUUGGUAUGGUUGUGUUUGCUUUUUAAAAAUGGUUAAAAACAAUUAACAUGAUAUUGAAAUAUAUUCAUAAGUCUUUAUAAAAAUGUCAAAAUUGUUAUAUAUGAUUAGGGAAAGAAUUUUGAUUGAGUUUUUAAUGACCAUUGUCAUUUCUCCUAUAAAAAACAUAUCGAGAAUUGAAAUUCAUAGUAUACUCACAAUUUUUCCCUUCGGUAAAUAACCCAUAAAUAAAAGGAUUUGGUCGAAAUAGAAAGAAAAAUGCUUAUUAGAUCGUAAGAUAUAAUAGACUUGCGUAAUCCAAUGGUCAUCUUUUGAAAAAACAAGAUCAAAUGGUUUAAGUUAAAAUAAUUAAUAAGAUCUAUGGUGAACCACUCUUACGAUUGGUCCACCAUAGACAUUUAAGGUUAAAGUUAACAGCUAGGGAUUUAUUUGGCAAACAGAGGAAAAAAUGAGGACGAAAACGCCAAUUUUAUUAAUUGUGGGACUAAAACGAUUAUUUAAGGGACCAAGUGAUCUAAUAAGCCAAAGAAAAAAAAAAUUACAGUAUUCUACAACACGCAGAUACACAGAAAUUCUACAAUGUUAUAUGAAAAAGAUCUACAUUGAAUUUUAAAGAAGAAACAUUAUAUGAUACAUACAUAAUUGCAUACAUAUAAAAAAGUAUUGAAGCAAAGUAAUUAACCAAAAAAAGAAAAGAGACAGAAAAAAGUCACUAAUGUUUCAACAAAUUACUUGUUUAUUUUGAUUUAGAUGAAAUGCUCCAACUUGUGUUGGAAAGGCUCCACUGAUCAGAAGCAAUGUCUUCAGCUGCAGAUGAAAUGUCACCACAUUUUGCUACAAUCCUUACACUCUCUAUCAACUCUUUUGUUCUAGCCUCUUGUGCCAAAAUUUCCAUCAACUGUUCUGGACUAAUCACCAACUUCACUUUCCAAAACCUGCUGCUACUAGACAAAGAUUCUAUAGAAGACUUCUUGAGAAACCUCAUUCCUUGGUGGUGUUGGUAAUCUAAGGACAUUCUAUAUGGAGCAGGGUACGAGGUUGUUGGAACACUAUGAGACCUAACAUGUCCUUGUCUUACAACAUGUUCAUAAUCACUACCACAUGUAGCUUCUAUUUUGUUGUUGUUGAUUGGAAGCAAAUAGUAUGAUUGUCCUGCCUCUAACUCAUCGAAUUGGCUUAGUGGUUUCCAAAAGAGAUCAUGGCUUCUGAAUAUGGCAUGUCCAGGGAACUCUUUGGUGAUGAAACUUACUGUUAUUGGUGCACUGAAUUCCAUGAUUCCACCAUUUGAUGUUAUUACUUUGAUUGUUGUAUCAGAAUCUGCCAUGGCCCCAACGAAGCAGUUUCCCAUGUUGGAGUUUCAAACCUAUGUUGGUGGAUGUUUGUUGUCUUUAGACUUUCAUGUCUUAUGGUAUUGGUAGUAAAUUAAAGUAUACUUGGAGGGAAUAGUGGAGCGGGAAACUUCUUGAGAUAAAAAGUAGAACUUUGUUUUAUGGUCGGUUAGAUUCUUGUUGUGUGCUUUGACAAAAGUUAGGCUAGAACCAAAUUAAAGGAGAAAAAGAGGCCUCACAUAAUCAUGCAUUUGGAAAUGUAUGUGUACACAUAUUGCUAAUGAUGAAAAGUAAAUUAAAGAGUAUAUUUUUUAAAAUUGGUUAUCAUUCACAUAUAAUUUUAAAGAUCAAUCUCUUAAGUCGAGUAAGACUAUAAUGGACGACAAAACUCUUUUUUAAGAGAUUUGAUGCCGUUACAUUCUCGUGGUUGAAUUUGAAUUCAAGAUAUCUGAUUACGCUAAAAGAGUCUGAAUCAUAUUGAAUAUGUCCAUUUUAUGCAUUGUUUCAAAAAUAUUGUUUUAUAUGGAUAUAGGUAGUAUAGUGAAAGAGUAGAAUUUUAUAGUUGAUUCAAAAUUGAAGAAAACCUGAUAGUGUCAAUCAAAUGUUAAAAUAAAUAAAAUUAGCUAACAAGUACUAUUUACCCCAUGGUGUUUAAAAGAAAAGUACUAUUUACUCAGCAGAUGACUACCUAAACAUUUUACUUUAGUACUAACCUUGUUACUGUUACAUAUAGUGCAUUGGAAUGGAUAUUAGAUCAAGACAUAGUGUUACAUGAUUUACUUGGUCAAAGUAGAAUGAGAUAAACGGAGCAUACUAAGUUGCUUUAGAAGUCUUUUUCAAAGAGCUAGUGUACUGUCACUAGGCCCCAUUAAUUGCCCUUUUUUCUUUUUGAUCUUGGAUAUUUGCACUUUGAUGACUAAGGUAUGUCAAGACAGACAGAACUAUAAUUCCUUUAAUUAUGGAACCAAAUUACUGAAUCCAGAAACAAUGUCUCUUAGGAAACUAUAGAUUAUUUCUUCUCUUUUUACCUAGCACUUAAUGCUUUAAAUUUGCAGAAUUUUCGAAUCGCAUAACAUCAUCUAUCUACUUACUAUAUAUAAAAUUUAAUUCCCUAUAGUUUUACCAUUUUGCCUCUAAGAGGGGCAUUUUUGUAAUUUAAUAUUUGGUGGGAUGUGGUUGUUGCCACCUCACCUUUUUAUGGGUGCAUUUUACCAUUUUGCCCCUCACCAAUUUUUUUAAUUAUUUUAUAAUUUUUAUAUUUUUAGUAACUUUUAACUAUUUUCCCAUUUUUAUGUUUUUUAACUAUUUUUCAAUUUUUUCUCCCAAAUUCAGUUGCUUCUACAUUGUCGUUGUGGAAGAUUAAGGUAUCGUUUGACCCAGUUUUUUUUUCCAACUUCUCUACAUUUCUAAAGAAAAGUUAGGCCAAACACAAUAUCAAUUAAGUAUUUACUAAAAAAAAGUAAUUUCUUUGAAUGCAUAAAAGUGAAUAGAAUGAGUUUUGGCCAAAAGUUGUUGAAUGAUACUUUAAAAAACUACUUCUCGACAAUUUAUUUCACAAGCACCUCUUUUCAACUCACGUUGAAACCUUUUCUUUUAUUUUUUAAUAUUGUAUUUCAAUAUAUUUUUUUCUUCCAUUUAACUUUAUUUUAUUUUAUUUUUUUGAACCGUUCCAUUUAAUUUUUUAAAGAGAUUCCAUUUAAUUUUAUUAUCUUUUUUCAAAUGAAUUUUAUUAUCUUUUUAUCACUUAUAUAUUUAAUUUCAAUAUCGUUUAAUCAUCACAACCUUACAAAUAUUUUUAUUCACGUUGUCAUUUAAUGAUACCAAAUAUUUUUAUUUUCUUUCUUCAACCUCACAAAUAUACAUACACACAUUAACGUUUAGUGUAAUAUUUGAUGUCCGUCUGUCUCUUUUUUUGUUACGCUAAUGCAUAUAAUUUUUUUAACUAUUUUCCAAUUUUUAUAUUUUUAAAAAGUUUUAACUAUUUUUCAAUUUUUUUAUUUUUAACUCUUUUUCAAUUUUUUCUCCCAAAUUAAGUUGUUUCUACACUGCCGUUGUGGGAGAUUAAGAUACCAUUUGACCCGGGUUUUUUUUCAACUUCUCUACAUUUUUAAGGAGAAGUUAGGCCAAAUACAAUAUUAAUUAAGUACUUACUAAAAAAUGUACUUUUUUUUAAUGCAUAAAAUUGAAUGGAAUGAGCUUUGGCCAAAAGUUGUUGAAUGCUACUUCAAAAAACUAUUUCUCGACAAUUUAUUUCGCAAACAUCUCUCUUCAAUUCACGUUGGGAACCUUUUCUUUUAUUUUUUAAUAUUAUAUUACAAUAUGUUUGUUUCUUCCGUUUAAUUUUUUUGAAACCGUUCCAUUUAAAUUUUUUUAAGGAGGUUACAUUUAAUUUUAUUAUCUUUUUAUCACUUAUAUAUUUAAUUUCAAUAUAGUUUAAUCAUUACAACCUCACAAAUAUUUUUAUUCACGCGGUCAUUUGAUGAUACCAAAUAUUUUUAUUUUAUUUUUUCAACCUCGCAAAUACACACACACACAUUAGUGUUUAGAGUAAUACUUUAUGUGUGUCUGUUUUUUUGUUACGCUAAUGCGUAUAAUUUUUUUUUGGUGUUGCAUAAUGCUUAUGAUUAUUUUUAUAAAAUUUUUAUUUUAAUUAAAUGUAAAAUUGUAGAUGUCUUUUCUUCAAAAAAGGUCUAGAUGCCUAAAAAAAUUAUACUUUUAUAUAUAUAUAUAUAUAUAUAUAUAUAUUUGCACCUUUAUAUUGUAAUUAACAAACUAUGCAUAUCUUUUUCUUAUUAAAAAAAACAAACAUAUAUGUUUCCACGACACCAACAAUGUAACAAAUAUAAUAUCAUAUAAUAUAAAUUCUUAUCUUUUUGAUAGACACCAAAUAUAUGGUAUUCUUAUAACGAAAUUAGUUAUAGAGUAUAAUUGAAAUAGAAAAAAAUCAACUAUUUUGAUAUUAUUUAUGUCAUUAUUUUAGACUCCUUAAAUUGUUUCUCCUAUUCAAAUAUUUAACAAGUGUCCUCGUGAGCUUGCCUCAGUUGAUCGGGACAAUGGAUAAUAUAUGCAAGGUCCGGGGUUCAAACUCUUGCAACCACAAAAAAAAAAAAAAAAUUUAACAAGUCAUUUAUAUGAUGAUACAGAUUUGUAUUCAUGUUACACAAAAUAAACGUUAUUGUGUAAAUAUACUUUGUAAAAAAAAUCUCUUUUAUUUUUUAACAUUUUUAGCCUUAGAAAAUAUUUUAAACAUUCUUUUAUUUAUUAUUUUAAUUCAUAAUAAAUUCAAAGUUUUUUCCUCGUGAGACCGUACAUGACUUGAGUUGACUGAUUUUUAUGGCUUGAGGGGUUUAUUUUUCGACACUGUUUUAGUUUUUGCUUCAUCAUAUGUGGUUUUUUUCCUUUUUUUUUCUUCAAGAUUCUCCAUUUUAAGUUUUUUUUUUUUCUUUCAAUUGUUAGUGAAUUAUGUACCAGAAAUUAUUAUGUUGCAUGGCUGUAGAAAAACAUUCAUUUGUUAUGGUAAGGUUUUGACACAAUUCUUAUUUAGGUUCUGGUACUGUAGUUGAAUAUUUUUUUUAUGCAUGUGGGUUAUUUUAGUUUUUGUGAGUAAUCCUAAUGUUGUAACAAUUUUUAUAUUUGGUUUAUUCUUUCUAUAUCAUUGAGCCGUACGAAAGUUGAUUGGUGUAAAUUUGUUUUGGUCAUAUCAGUUAGGUCCAGAAAAUUAAUGAUACCUAAAUUUCUGCAUUUAAGAUCAGGUUGAUUUGAUGAUACAAAAUUGAUCACAUGGAAAUAUGUUAGCUUCUUUCGAUAUCAGAAUGAACAAAGUAAAUAAAAUGAAAUGAUGUAUAUUGUAUUUCUAUAUAGGACUUUCAAUGUCAAGGGAUUAUGACUACAUUAAGGAUCUCAAAAAUGAUUUGGACAUUUGGAAAAUAGGAUUUGGAGUGCUGGAUUCUUGGAUUGUGACUGGUAGUAAUUAGAAUCAACAUAUGAAGCUCAUUAUUUGUGAUGCAAGGGUUAGAUGAGUUAGUUAAGAUUUGUUGUAAUUUCCUUUAUGAUUUAUCAAUGUUACUUAUUAGUGUUCAUUUUGAUUUAUUUAUAUUUUUUGGUUUCUUUCUCGAAUUUAGGGUGAUCAAGUUCAUGUAAUAUACUCAUUACCACCGAAAGAGCAAGCUAUGAAAAAUAGUUGGGUGGACAAUGGUUCAAUUUCUACAGAGAACGUGUGAUGGAAGAAGGUGGUAAGUUCAUCUUUGAUCUCGAAAAGUCACCAAAGAACUUGCACGUUCAAGUUGUUCCAAAGUAGAUCUUUGCUGCUGAACUAUUUUAACUUCUACUCUUUUGAUGUAUCUCUUUGGACUGUAAUCGUAAACUAUAUUGACUUUGGGAUGUCAUUUGUUCUUUUCAUUUUGUCUAAUGUAAAUAUUGACAAAAUCCAUUUUUGAUUAGUCUAUGACACUUGCAGUCUCUUUUAUAAACCUAACUAUUAUGUAACGUUAAUCUGCACAUUGUUGGUUCCUUCAUUGGUUUCAAUUAGUAUCAUGUUAAUUAUAAUGUUGUUUUCUCAAUCUCUUGAACAAAAUAGAACAUGCUCUUUUCCUACAACAAAUCUUUAUAAUGCUUUGAUAAAUGUUUUAGAAAUAUAUAUAUAUAUAUAUAUAUAUAUAUAUAUAUAUAUAUAUAUAUAUAUAUAUAUAUAUAUAACAUCUAAUUAACACCGCAAUUUGUUUUGUACCUAGCACUUUCCAAAUGAGAUAUCAAGGACAUUGCUAAAAGGAACACGGAAAACAAUCACACUCAUCGACAAACAAGCUCAAAAAAUGUAUAAGUGUCGGCAAAGAGAGCAAGUUACGAAAAAUACUUAGGCGGCCAAUGGUUCAACUUUUGCCGAGAACAUAUGUUAGAGGUAGGUGAUAAGCUAAUUUUUGACCUAGAGAAGCCACCUAAAAAUAUGCACGUUCAAGUCAUUCCCAAAUAAAUAUUUGGUGUUCAUGAUCCGCACUUUCAACAUAUUACUUUAAUUCUAAUCCUAUACUAGAUUAUCUUCACUCACUGAUGCUACUUCUUUGCUUGAUUUCAUCUGUUUUAAAUAUGAGUAUCAAUUCUUUUUUGGUAACUCUAUAACAACAACACUCUUUUUUAUAAUUUUGGAUAAUAUGUAAUCAUAAUUCACACAUCAUUAUUUCUUUAUUGGUUCCAAUUGUUUUCAUCCUAAAUAUUAUGUCAAUUCCUAAUCUCAUAAACUAAUUAUAUGCUUUCUUAAUCAGCCUAUACAUAUUUUAUGAUGAAUCACAAUGCUCCAUCGUUUUAACAUCUCUUCUUUCAAAGAAUUUUUUAUCGAAUAUAUUAUUGAACCCGUGCGAAGCACGGGUUUGUAACUAGUUUACAAUAAAACUUACAAAGGAACCAGGGGAGAUUGAAUCUAGCAAAGGAUACCUAGUUUUUAAGACGUGGCAAAUUAAAGUUUGAAUUUAUAGAUCCAUAUUUAGUGUUUGAAAAUGUGUUGAGCAAACUUUAGCUUUGCAUGUCUCUUAGAAAAAGUUGAGCAUAAUAGCUUAAAUGUCAUAUUAACAUAUUCAAUGUGAAGAUAUAUUAAUUUGUGACUAAGAAAUAUAUCAAUGGAAUUUCCGUUAAUUGGCUUUUUAUCGGCGACUUCAAAGUCAUACUCAUAUGGUUAAAAAACAGCCAUUUUAAAGUCUAAGUCCGACGUAUAUGACAAAAGUUGCAAUCAACUAGUAAUAUCAUAAUUUGGGUUUGCAUUAGAAUUCCAUGAAUGUGUAAUAGAGUUUGGUUUGAUGUAACAGUUUGUACAAAUAAACAAUUGAAAAUUUCUCUUCCUCCUAAAAUUUCGAAUUCGCUCAUCUUCGGAUUACACAAUUUGGACAAGUCCGAAUUAUGUAAUUCGAACACAUCGUACAUAGCAGACCCCCUUUUCUUCCUUAGUUCUUUUUCCAUAUUUCAAUACUACAAGACCAACGAUCUAGAUUUAAAUUCAUUAACGCAUUCAAAACAUCGAUAGUUGUUCAAUCAAUACCAAACAUUUUAGAUUCAAGUUCAAUAUUUAAAAUUAUAAAUGACGUAUUUAUUUUUUUAGGCCGUCUAACAUCGAUGUCUCGAAUGCGAAAUUUCCCCGAUUGCAGCAAAUCCUAUUUCCUCAAAAUCCUUUCCUUCAGUUCCCUGCAAACUCUCAAUCUCUCAUUAUAAACAAUGUCGUUCAAACUAGAUAUAAAUGGGUAUUAGUUGAACUUGCACCUAGAUUAAACAGUUCUACAGCCGCCUAAAUUAGAAGAAGAUUUGUUUGUCUUAAGAUGUACUAUAAAGUUAUACAUUAAAUUAUCAUUUUUGCACUUAUUUUAAUUGACAGUUUUUCUUGUAUUCUAUCACUAUUUUAUUUUCAUAUACUUCUGUACCAAAAGCCACAUGUGAUCAUAUAAUAGUUUUUCAACGAAGUCAAAACUAUUAGUAGGAUUCAGAUCUGAUUACCAUCUAAACACAUAUAUUAAUGGGAAUCAUUUCAUUUGAUCCGUUUAAAUAAAUCAUAUAUUAACUUAGACAGAUCCCAACUAAUCAGACCAUUGUCAUCUAGUAUCGAUGAAAAAGAGUCAACUAAUGUAUCACAAGUUCUAAGGCAGAAUAUGUUUGAAAAAGAUCUAUCCUCCGUUUGGUGAAUGAACCGUGAAUAACUCUAUAUAUUAAAAAUAAUGUACUGUUUAAAUAUAGAUCAAAAGAUAAGAUUGCUUUCACAAGGACUAUAGUAAUAAAUUUUAAUUGUUCCAUAUCCAAGUUUAAUUUAAUUGGUAUGGACAUUACAUUAUAUAUUGAAGAAUAUGACUUGAACCCUAAACAUUUCAUUUAUUCAUUUUAAGACAAGAAUUUCUAAUCACUAGACCGAUUGACCAAAUUUUUUUGUCCACUCUUAAUUUUCUCGUGAUAAACUUUUUUGUUUUGUUUUAACUCUUCAGUUAAGAGAAAUGGUAUUAGUAAUAUGAACUUCAGUCCGAAGGUAAGUAGAGUCUGACCAUGAAUUCUUUCAGUCGAGAAUUAAACUCGGUUUCUCCCAAACGAUUCGUCAUUUGGUCGAGUUCAUUAACUAUUUGAACUCAAGCAAUUGAUUUCUUGUGGUCCAAUUGAGUCAUUGACAAAAAUUAAUAUUUAAAUUAAUUUAUAACAUUUUGAUUUGCAGGACAAAUUCGUCAUUGACUUGUUAUAUAGAUAGACCAAUGUGUCUGCAAUAUUAAAAUGUCAGACCCGUUGUAUUAUAUAGACCAAUUUGUCCGCGAUGUGAAAAUAUCAAAAAUUGAUUUAUUUUUUUUUAUUUUUUUAUUUUAUAGAUAGACGAAAUGACAAAGCCAUUAUAAACUCACACACAUAAGGGAGGUACUGGGGUUCGAACCUCGGUCAUGACAUCCGGCCUAACAAUUUCGAUAUUUUACCAAUUGAGCUAGGAUUUUUGGAUAUUUUGGUAUUAUUUUUUGUUGAGACUAAAUUGAAUCAUGACAAAAGUGUGAGGACCAAAAUGAAUCUUUACUCUAAUUACUGUAUAGAGAGCAAACCUUCGUGCAAAUGCUUGAUUUCUAUGCACAACCGAAGUUGCCGGUAUUGAUUAACCAUCUAUAUUAUACAACUCGCACCUUAUUUAAAACAAUGGAUUUUUGGAGGAAGCUUGUUGUUUAUUGUAUAAAAUUAGAGGAAUGUUAUUUGAACAACAAUUUUUUAAGAUAAUUUGUUGGACAAUCAAAAUAUACAAAGAAAUGUAAGGAUUGAUACAAAAACUAAAACAAUGGAGAGAGACGGUAAAAAUACAAUGUGAGUAUGAGAGAGAAAGUUAUUACAAAAGUUGUCACAAAAUAAUUGUUGAAAUAUCAUUUCUCUAAAAUUAAGACUCGUAAAAGAGACCUUAUUAUAUGAAAUUACAAUUUAAACUGAGUUAAACAUGAAGGGAGUUUGGAUUGAUUCCACUUGCAAACUGGUUUAAUUUUUUAUUUUAACUUCAAAAUAACUUGAAUAUUGAUUAAAGGAGUGGUAUUAGAAUAUUAAGAAAAAGAAGACCAUUAGAUGUAGAGUCUAUUAUCCGUCAAGGGGCUUGGACCACUUGGUCUUUCAUUCUAAGGGACUUCAUGACUGCACGUUCUCUUACAUGAUAAGAUUAAGUUGUUAAAAUGUUCACUUAUUACUUAUCUUCUCACUAAAAUAAUUCAUUAAAGUAACAUCCCAAUAAUUUUUUGGGUUAAGAAAGUUUAGGUGAAUGUAACCUAUAGAGCUCAUAAUAACAAAAUAGAUCUUUAUCACUUAAAGAAUACUUACAAAGAUAUUACAAUUGAGUGACUUGCUAAUAAAGAUUUCAUAUCGAUAGUGAUAAUUGGCUUAUAUUGUCAUUUGCAGCGAAUUUAGAAUUAUCGCAGUAAAUUUAUCAUGAUACAAAAGUUACAUCUUGGAGCAUCAACAAAUGAUUCUAAACUUGUGCUUGUUGAAUGUGUCGUUUUUAUGGUAUGAGUCACGUCCUUAUCAUAACUGUCCUCAUAUUAUAGAAUCAACGUAACAUACUCACCUUUCAAUCCCUCAAAACAAAAAUACUCACAUAUAUAUCAAACACAUAACAUUACUUUCCAUCAGUACUAAUUAACUCAGCUUCUUACAAUCUAAAUUGCAAGGAAACCCUUAUGAAAAGAAAGAUAACAUGAAGAAGAAAACAAAAGAAAAACAAAUAACAUUUUUUUCGAUUACUCCUCAACAACAAUGUACUCUUUUUUCUUCAAAUAAUCUAAAACUUAACAUAUGACACAUGCACUAGGAUUCUCUUCCACACUGGUGUAAUAGUAAUGUGGUUGUCCCAUCAUUAUAGGAUAAUGAUAGGUUUCACAAACCUUCACAAAACCAGGUGCUGCUGAAUUCUUAUUUUGAUCCUUUUUCUCCUCUGCAGGCUUCUUUUUCUCUUCUUUCUUAGGCUCCUUGGCUGGUCCAACAGAUAGUAUCUUAGGAUGACACAGCUUCCUUAACUUUCCCACUACAUGCACAACGUCUAUGUCUCCUGUUAAGGUCAAUUUCUGGUCCUUCAUAUCCAAAGAAACUGACUCAACCCCUGCAAAAACCAUGGUUAAAUUUAUUCUCUUUGAUUUUAUGAGUAUAAAAUAGCAAAGAAAAUGUAAUAUAAUAGAAUUUAAAGUGACAAGAGAUUGAAAUUCAAUACCUGAAAUAUUAGAGACUGCCUUCAAUGCUUUUUUCUUUAUUUUGUCAUCGUGUAAUUCCACUUGCAGCACUAUUUUCUGUCAUGGAACAAAUCACAAGAUUUUUAGGAAUUAGGACCCACUAAAAUCACUUCUAUCUAAACAUUAAAAAAAGUUUAUCAAAUUAAAUAGAAGGAUAUGUUGAAUUUAUGAUAUGAGAUCACAAAAAAAUUUAAUAUAAAGAAGAUCUCAAACUUUGAAUGCCAAUUACUUGUACUAGAGAAAAAUAAUAAUUCUAGUUGAUUGUUGAGUUAUGAAUGGGAUUGAAAAAAUAACAAAAUUAAGAAGUGAGGAGUUUACAAUUUGAAUUCAUUUUAUUGGACCAUAAUAAAAAAUAAAUAAUAAAACUAUGGGUUACAAAAUCUAACAUUCAUGAUAAGAAGGGGAAAUUAUGACUUAUGAGUGAGACGGCAGCUACAACUAUAAGGAUUGGUGUACUGAAACUUAGCUCAGGUCUAAGGUAUUUAAAAGGAAAAGGAAAAGAAAUUAAAUAGAGUGAGUGAGUAGAGAAGAAGUCAACUUAAGUCUUGGGGAAAUUCAUAUCGUGAUUGCAAGGUCACUUAUUAUUAUUAACAUGAGACAUUUGUGUUCAACUUGAAUUAUUAAAUAAAGUAAAAUGCUAUAUCUCUAAAAAGAUAACAUCAAGAAUUCUUUAAGAAUAAAGAGCAUCCAAAUAUAAUGCAUUAUUUGUCACAAUUCAGAAGGUGUGGCUGAAAAAUAAGAAGUGAACAAAUAAAUCAUGCAAUUAAAAUUUGUCAGAUGUGUUUUGAAAAAUUCUUUAUGCUAUUUUUCUAGAGAAAUAACAUCUUCCUUAAAUAAAGGGUCUUUUAUUUUGAAUUGUUUUGCAUAAACUCAGUAUCUUCACGCGUAACUUGUGGAUACUAAUUUCUCGAAUUUUGCAGGAUCCAAAUAGGCGGCAAUUCUUCUAGGAAUUUUAACGUUGAUACAUGUCUAAAAUUGCAUUCAAACUCAAGACUUUGGUUACGUUGCAAUAUGACAUGUAUCUAUAAUGUGAUACGUAUCUAAAAGAAUUGAGUAUACAGGAAAUAUCAUAAACACCUUUCAAAAAGGAAAAUCCUAAACAUAUAUGAUAAUAUAUUUAUUGUUUUAAGAAGCGAAAUUAGACGUCUAAAUCAACAUCGAAGAGAAUCAAACUUAAAACCUUGAGGAGGAGCACACUUCAACAUUUCAAGUCAAUAACACUAGACCAAUCCAAUAGGUAUCUGUUUGAUACUCCUAAGACAUACAUCAUCCGGUCACUAUUAUAAGCAAAAUUUUGCAUUUUAAAUUCAUUCAAUUAAUGAUGUAUAUGAUAUUUAUUAUAAACCAUAUACAUCUAAAAUUGUGAUUUUUGCUUAUAAUAGUGAUCGGAUGGUGUAAAUCUUAAAGUAUCCAAGGAUUAUUACUAUCCGAUAUGUAUCUAACACAUAUAAUUGUUUCAUUUUAAAUUAUCUAAGUAUCGUGGAUUACAAGAUUGAAGGUAUUGUUUAUACUUCUCUUCUUAUUUAAAAAUUAGGAAAACAAAUAUGAAAAUUAGAAAAUUCGAGCAACUAGCCAGCUGGGCAAAUGAAUGAAGGACAAUAACUUGUUUUCAGGGAAGUUUCUGAGCAACGAACCAAUUGACAUACAAAUAAUCAAUUAAUGGAUGGAGAAGAUUCGCUAAUUAAUUUUUGCUUAAUUAGCGAGCACCCCUCAAAUGAUUAUCCAGAACUGCCUUUUCGAUGAGCAUUGUGGAAUUAUUUAUAACUCUAAGAUCCACUUAUUGGACUCAGCCACUUCAGCAACCUUAUUUUUAAAAAACCAUAAAAUUAAGCCAAUCUCUAGGGUGGAGAAAUGUUACAUAUGGACCUUGGACCCAUUUUUGAAAAUCGGUCACAAUUUCAAUGACGACCUUAUUACUCAUCCGUCUUUAAAUAUAAGUAAAAUUGAUUUUUUAAUUUCAUUCAUUUAAUAAUGUAUGUGGUUCAUAAUAUGGACACAUACAUCAUUAAAUGAAUGAACUUAAAUAAUCAAUUUUAUUUAUAUUUAAAAACAGAGGGAGUAUGUUAAGUAGAAGUUUAGAGUUGGCCACAUCCUUACCUCUUAAUUUGAUUGAUGUUUGAUUUAACAAAAUUAAGAGACAACGAACAUAAGUUUUGAGCACUAAUUGAUGUUUGAUUUAACAAAAUUAGAUGACUCAUCAACACUAAGGAUGGGUAAUACUAUGAGCUUCUUAUAACCGAGAGCUACAUUACUGUGUCUCAAGUGUGAAUUGAGAUCAAUUAGGAUGAAUAAUAUUAUUGAUUAAUGGUAGAAAUUAGUUUAAACGUGGAGCUCUAUCAAGAAUCAACUCUUGCUCGAAAUUUAAACUAAUUCAAGCAUUAAUCCAUAAUAACAAAUCAUAAAUGCUUAAUUUUGAAAGUGAAUUUUGAGAAAACAUAUGACUCAAUGGAUUGAAGUUUCUUUGAAUAUAUGAUGGGGAGAGUGGAGUUGUGUUGAAAGUGGGUGGUGUACAUGAAUACUUGUGUUUUUUGUGGAAAUAUGUUCAUUCUUGUAAAUGAAAGCCCUACAGAAGAAAUUAGUAUACAAAGAGGAUUAAAACAAGGGGGUCCCUUACCUCCUUUUUUAUUCCUUUUGGUGGCGGAGGAGGAUUGGUGGCUUGAUGAGGAACGGGGUGAGGCGUAAUUUGUUUUAAGGGUUUGUUUUUAGGCGCCAUUAGUUGAAGAUUUAUCACCUUUAAUAUGUCAAUGAUACUUUUUGUAUUGGGGAAGCUACAGUUGAUAAUGUGAAAGUAUGUCAACCAAAAUGUGAAGGAGGGUUGGGAGUAAGGGAUGUUAGAAUGAUUAACUUGAGUUUGGUGGCAAAGCGGACAUGAAGAUUGAUUCAUGAUGAUAAUGCUUUGUGGAAAGAAGUAUUGGUGGAGAAGUAUGGAGUUCAUGUUUGUGUAAUUUAUUAGACGGGGAGGGUACUUGGUGGCCUAGAUUUUUGUCAAGACGGUGGAAGGUUUUAAGAUUUUUUAUUAUUAUGGACAAAUUGAUAAUUGUGUCCUUUUAAUUAUUUAAAAGGCUUAAUUGCACUUUUGGACCCCUAUCUUUCCAAAAGUUGCGGUUAUAGCCCCCUAACUAAUUUAAAUACAAAACAGACCCCUAUGUUUUGAUUCUUUGGCAGUUUUGGACCCCCAGUCCAUUAGUGAGGUCCAAAAGUGCAAUUAAGCCUAUUUAAAAUUGGCAUUCAUUUUGCAUUUUUGUUGUAAAAGAUUCAUUCAUAAUCAAGAUACUCGAAAAAUAAAUUUUCAAUAGAAUUAAUCAAAGUAUGUUAAAAUAUAUAUAUAUAUAUAUAUAUAUAUAUAUAUAUAUAUAUAUAUAUAUAUAUAUUAAUUGUUUCCGUCAAGAAUUGAACUCGGGUUCUCUUGAAUGUUUCUCUCUAAUGGAAGCUCAUUAACCACGGUGCUUUCAAGCCUCAAACCAUAUACAAGACCCCAAAGUUCAACCAUAACCAAAGUAGAACAAUUCAAAUUGCUGGCAAACCUACGAAUAAAGGACCUCUUAAUAGUGGCGUAUCCAAAGGAAGGAGGAAAUGAAAAGCAAUAUGUUAAGGGCAUCUCUUGAGACCACAUGGAAACUGGCAUUGCAACAUGACAGUAUAUUGCAACUGAAAGUGUUUCGGCAUGAAGCACAACAUUCUUCUCAUCGAAGACCCUGAAUCAGCCAUUAAUUAAUUUAGUCUAACUACAAUCUUGGUUAAUUAUUGUUAUAAGAUUAAGAAGGUAGGAAGGAAAUGGAAGUGGUGGUGGAAAAAAAAUGGCUAAAUAGUUCAACGUUGAAAGUUACAAGCAUAUAACAUUGCCUUAGUUUUACACGAUAGUAGUUAGAAUAGUCUCACAUCGGAAAUAUGGAAACAAUAGAAAGUAGAGUUAACAAUAUAAAAUGGCAGCGUGUCCCCUAUAUGAUACACAUCCUACUAUCAGCAUCCCCCCUGAGGACCACACUACUAUGGGCUUAUCAAAGAGGAUCACCAAAAGGCCCAUUUAUUUCAAGGACUAUGUCACUAAUCACCGAUGCUGGAACUUCCUAGAAUCUGUCCAAGAUUACUGCUGAGUCACUAGUACUAUUUUAUGCAGUAGUUCUCUUAUCUCUUAACCUAUCAAUUAGUGCUUUCAUUGCCCUUUUGAACAUCUAUUCUCAUGGCCGAACCAUUCACCCCCACCUCCCCUCUAGAAGCCGUCGUAGCCUCACUCACAGCCAAAAUAGAUACUCUCACUGAUGAAGUUAACAACCUUCGCGUCCAAACCUCCAAUUCCUCCAACUCAAACACACCACCACCACCACCACCACCAUUACAUAGACCACACAUGAAACUCGAAGUUCCCAAAUUUGACGGUCACGAUGCAGUGGGUUGGAUAUUCAAAAUCAACCACUUCUUCGAAUUCCACAACACACCGGAACACGACCGCCUCAGCAUAGCUUCCUUCUAUAUGGAAGGUCCUGCCCUCAGCUGGUACCAAUGGAUGAGCCGCAACCAUCUAAUCAACUCUUGGCACGAUUUCCUUCUCACCCUCGAAACACGUUUUGCUCCGUCAUACUACGACGACCCACGUGGCACACUCUGUAAGCUCACCCAAACCAGUUCCGUCAAUAAUUACCUUCAUGAAUUCGAAAGAAUUGCUAACCGUGUCGUUGGCCUCCCUCACCCAUUCCUCCUUAGUUGUUUUGUUUCUGGGCUUACACCAAAGAUCCGACGAGAGGUCCAAGCUUUCCAACCAAUAUCUCUACCUCAUGCCAUAGCCUGACCAAGAUCCAAGAAGAUAAGAUCAACGAUCGCCGCAGCACGUUCAGAUCUAAACAACCUCUUCCCUUCACAUCCAAUUCCAUCUCAACCCCACAAAUCACACCCCCGACAAAUCAGACCACAAAUUCAUCUAUAAACUCCCAACCCAAAAUCAACUUCAAAAGACUCACACCAGAAGAACUCAUUUCCCGCCGCGAGCGUAACUUAUGUUGCAACUGUGAUGAGAAAUUCACACCAGGACAUCGCUGCAAAGGGAAGUUCUCUCUUCUCAUUUCAGAGGAAGACGAGUCCAACACAACAAAAGAAUACACCAACACAGAUGAAAAUCUCGACACAGACCCACCUAUUGAGACCGAACCUGAACCGCCGGUCCAAUUAAGCUUACACGCAAUGUCUGGCACACCCCUCCACAACACAAUUCGCCUAACCGGAACCAUCACCAACCAACCGGUUAACAUUCUCAUCGACGGAGGCAGUUCACAAAAUUUUAUCCAAACCCGUAUUGCUAAAUUUUUGGGUCUACCUCUAACACCUACAUCCAACCCCCUUUGUGUUAUGGUUGGAAGUGGAGAAACAUUAGAGUGCAUCCACAAAAGUCCCAAUGUCAAAAUCUCAAUCCAAGGUCAUAUAUUUGAAAUGGAUUUACAUGUUUUUCCCUUAGGAGGUGCAUAAGUUGUUGUCGGUGCCCCUUGGCUUGAGAGUUUAAGCCAUAUCCUAAUGGACUAUGUCAAACUAUCCAUGUCCUUCAACUACUUGGGCUGGCCUAAAACACUCCAAUCGAACGCUCCCUUCAAACCAAAUCCAUUAUCAUUUCCACAAAUUAAACGAUCCACCCAAACCUACUCCCUCUCAUAAUUUUUCCAACUACAAGUGUUACAAUGUGAAAACACUUCACCUUCAUCUUCCAAAAACUCCACAAUCACCACACCUGAACCACCUCAAAUCCAACAAUUACUCACCAAAUUCCAACACCUAUUUGACACAUCCCCAACCCUAUCACCGUCUCGCAACACCGAUCACCACAUACAUCUUCGACCCAACUCCGCCCCUGUCAACAUCCGCCCUUAAUGUAAUCCCUAUUCCCAGGAAUUUGAAAUCGAAAAACAAGUUAGUAACUUGUUGUCUUCCGGCCUCAUCCAACCUAGUCGCAUCCCUUUUUCUUCACCUGUAUUACUUGUUAAAAAGAAGGAUGGCUCAUGGUGAUGCUGCAUGGACUACCACGCUAUCAACGCUAUCACCAUCAAUGAUCGUUUCUCUAUGCCUACAAUUGACGAACUUCUAAACGAUCUAGGCCAAGCAUCAUGGUUUUCUAAACUGGACCUUCAGCAGGGCUUCCACCAGAUCCGGAUGCAUGAUGUAGUAUUUUUGCAUCAAACAAUUGUAAGUAUUUAUAUCGUCUCCUCAGGGACUAGUGCGAUAUCGCGGACCGUUCGACACCAAAUAUCAUUUCAAGUUAAACGAUAGUUGAUUGUUUGUUUUAGUAACUGAAUUGCAAAUGAUAAAAUUGAGAUUAAUAGGGCGUAAAACUUGUUAGGAUUAGAGUUCCUUGAUCGAGCGUCGCACGUAACCUAAUGAUCAUACAUGGAUUCUAGCUUUUCUUUGAUAUUAUCACGUAUCCCUCGACAACACCAUUCGUGUCCAAACAAUAUUGUGAAAUCAAUUGUAUCAUUCAAUGGUCGAUGUCUCAAACUAUUGAAUGAUUCAAGAGUCGAUCUUAUCGUUCAAUCGAUGAUUUCUCAAUCUAUUAAAUGAUAAGAAAGCUUUAGGUUUGGAUACUCAAGGUGAUUAUCAAAACAUCGAUUCCAUGUCUAGAAACUAUGUUUUGAUAGAUGGUUAUUCUAAACCUAGAUUCAAAAGUAUUUCUCAAUCACAAUUAAAUCAAAGAUAAAGAUUAAAGUGCAAGAAUAACCUCAAUAUCAAUUCAAAUGCUAGAACCAUAUAUUUAUAGAUCAAACGAUUACAUGUUAAACUAUGAUCAAGUACCUCUAAUCCCAACAAAGGAGAUUUAGCUACUCAUUGUCAUGGAAGCCUUGCAAGAAUGAAUUGAAGAAGCAAGAUUCAUUACAACUUGUGAUGUCUCAACAAAGGAUGAAGAAUCCACUCUCUAUCACUCUCACUCUAUAAAGCACAAGCCCUAUCUCUCUCUCUCUAAGAAUAUUACAAGUGAAAACACAGAGAGAAACUAAGUGAAAAACUAUGUAAAAACUAUCUCCCUCUGAAAUGGUUGAGUGGGCUAUUUAUAGAAUUCUGAGUCUGCCUUCACUCGCCUCGCGAGCUGCUUCAUUCGCCAUGGCGAGUUGAAGUUUCUUCCCCAUUGGGUUUGUGCCACGUCAGCAUUUAGAGGCUAAACCGCCCUUACUCGCCUCGCGAGUCCUUCCAUUCGCCAUGGCGAGUAAGCUCGCCUUCUACUCGCCAUUGCGAGUUGGUGGCGUGUGAUCUUUGUUGCAUUCUGGAAUUGCUCGCCUUUGCUGCUUGCCAUGGCGAGUUGGAGGCGAGUGAUCUCCUUUUUCUGCCUUUUUGUACUUUUCUCGAUUUUCUUCUCUUUGCUUGAUGUCUUGAGUUCGAAUCCUGCACAAAUGGGUGAAGUAAGAUAGAUAAAGCGUAAAAGGGCAAUAAUCACUUAUUUCUCGGCUUUUCCCUUAAUAACUUGCAAAACAAGUAACAAAAGUGCCUAAAAUAUAUCACUUAAAUUACAACUUUCUAGCACUUAUCAAACUCUCCCCAACUUAACUCUUUGUUUGUCCUCAAACAAAAUCUUGAAAAUCAAACAAGUUAAUAUGACAAGACACAAGUACAAAAGGUUUGAAAACAUUUUUAGAUGAAUGAUUCAAAGAGAAUGCGCGGGCAAGUCUGAGUUUCCAACUAAUCUGGAAUUCUACCACAAAUAUGAAAUGAGUUCUAUGCACAAAGUUCAUGUCAAAUAGUUCAAGUCAAUAAAACAUUUAUUCACGAACCACACCUAACACACUUCUUUGUAAGUAGAUAUGCAAUUGAAAUCAAAUGAGUGAGGGUUAUGAACACACAUCCGGCAAUCAAGUUAACAUCCAAAUCAAGUUAUAUGUCCAUCCAAUUAUCAUUUCAAAAAGCAUAAAAACAUGGAUCAAAAGGUCUUUUAGGGUUGUAAUUUGGCUUGGCUACAAAAGAAAGGACAUUUGUGGGUCAAUUGAAUUCAAAUGGUCAAGCAUAAGGGAACAUUCCUUCUAUUCACAUUCAAAAGACAAAUUUACUAGAAUUCCCUAACAAACCCUUGGUGUUAAAACAUGAUACUCCUUGAUCUUGACAACUUAUUCUAUUUUUGGAUUUUUCUUUCUUUUUCUUUUUCUUCUUUUCUUGUUUUUAUCAUGUACACAUUUUUCUUUUUCUUUCUUUUUUCAUAUACAAACAAUGUUGUCUUGAUCAAAAUUUCUGAUUACACCAAUUCACUUGACAAAUGAUGAACAUCUACCUUUUCUCCCCAACUUGAAUGAAAACAUACCCUAUUUGAAUGUUCCCUUAAUCUAUGGCAAAAAGGGACAAAUAACAAUGAAGGUUUAGGGUUCAACAAUUAAAACAUAUCAAGGUCCGAUAGUGCAACAAAAAUGAACUGGAUUUUGAAAAAUAUAGGGCGAAUUCAUCAAGCAUUGUGCUUAUGAAUUGACAGUUCAUAAUUGAGGACCUUGCUUCAUUUGGCUCAAGUGGGUUAACAAAUACUCGCUCUUCUCACAAGGUAGGCUAUUUGUGGUCAAGUAUGUUUCUCUCAUUAAACAAAAUAUGCCUUGAUCCUUUCCAUGUCUUUACACAAUUUAAAACAAAUAUUAGAUUUAACAUAAAAUGACCGAGUUAAAACAAUGAAUGCCGGUCUCCUUGCAUAUAGUACAAAUAUUUGAGGUUUCCUCACUUUUUGGCUAGUACUAAGUGGUUCACAAACAAACACAUUAUCGAGGAGAACUAAAUGAAUUGAAAUUUGUGCAAAGUACUCGUUUCCUAUUCAAGUAAAAACCUAGAAAAACUGGAAACUUGUACCUUGGCUUUGCGCUUUAUCACAAACUAUCUAUCAUUAUCAAUCAUCUGAGAAUUUUGCUCAAGUUUUGGCUAUCUUUCAAGCGCUUUGAAAUUUGAAGCUUUGAGCAUUUUUCCUUUCAAUAAGCAAGAGUGAUAAACUAGAGAAACUUCCACAAUUUUCAAAAGAAAGUACUUGAUAUAAACCAAAAGUGCUAAACUAAAACAACACAAUACAACUUGAACAAUGUGAACAUCACAAUACUAAUUAAAGCAAUUGUUUAAACAUAAUAUCCCACAAUAAGUGAACAAAGUAAUAAUUAAACAAAAUUAUGAGUCAUAAGUGCCAAGAUAAAACAACAGAAGCAAAUAUUUGUCAAAAUAGCUGGAAUCGAAAGCAAAUAAAGGAAAUGAAAGAGAAGGAAAGAAUCGACUGAAAGCUUAUAAAAUGUCACUCAAUAAAGGUGAGCUUUCACGUCUCUUCUCUUCCUCCUCAACCCUGCAUGUCAUCAUCAUCUGAACCACCAGUUGCACUUGGGACUCUGUCUGGAUCGUCUCUGUCAGAAUCUCCCAUCAAUAUAUCGUCAGAAAGCGUCCCGAACGAUGAGCCACCCCCUCCGUAAGGAUCUGGCCUGCCCUCAGGCCAAGAAACAUGAGCUUGAAAGGCCUCUGGUGUCAUAAAUUGUGACAUCACCUCCGGAGGGUAUUCUGCCUGCUGCUGCACUAAAUACUGAGACUGCUGAAGAUAAGUAUUAGCACGGUUUGUAGCUUCCAGCAUAUUCCAAGUAUGGGUAUGGCACUGGUAUUGCCAUUGUGUGUAGCUGGCAAAGUCGAAGGCAGUUGUGGUUGGCAUCUGAAAUGGUUCAGACCCUGAUUGUGGAUGAUGUGCCUGAGAAGAUGAGGCUUGUUUUCCUUUUUCCUUCUUUGGGUCACUCAUGAUGUAACGUCUGAUGAAGUCAUCAUCAACGGGGUUCCGGAUUUCCUCAUGCACAGCGGUGGGCAUCUUCAUUCGUGAAUCUUUAAUUAAGCCCAUGAUGAGUCCAGGAAAAGCUAGGCGGGUUUGUGGCUCACUUUUUCCUUGAAGGGUGACCAGCCUUAAUUCCCAUGCUAUUGUGCGGGCUAUGUCAACCUUGAUGCCCUUGAGAAUGUAAUAGAUUAGUGGGCAUACAUCCACGGUGCAAUCGGACAAGUGGCUGUUAGGUCUGACAUUGUGAAGGAUAAAUUUCAGGAUGAAUUUGCAAGUUUUGUUCAUGAGUUUAUAUUGUGCUCUGUGUUGUCUUCCAGCUUUACUCACGUCAUAAGUUUCACCCUCUAGUAAGAUAGCCCUUUUGAUUGUUUCUCUCAUUGGCUCAAUGUUAAAGGUGCCUCGAUUUUGGUUAUCGUGGAAGUCAUCCAUCUUAUCCUCAUCACUUAGUGGGAAAGUGUCACCGAGAUAGGUAUUAAUAGCUUUGCGAUCGAAGCGGAUGGUGCAACCUCUCACAAAGGUUUCAAAGACAAAUGGCUCGGUGAGGUUUGCGGGAAGAGCAUUGGCGUAAAAUUCACGCACGAGCUCAGCAUUGAUUGCGGUGAUAGGUUGGAGCAGUCUUCCCCACCCUUGGUCAGUUAAAAGCUUCAAGAGGUCUUGGUAGGGUCCUUGAGGGUUUAUGUUAAACACUUUCUCGGGCCACAUGCUCUGUUUAAGCAACUCCCUGUAUCUGUCUUGGUGGUAACGAGAUUUAAAUCUCUCAUGAUCAAAUGGUUGGUUUCUAGGUGGGGGUUGAGAUGUGGAUGUUUCACCUUUCUUCCUUUUUCCGGUAUUCACAGGUUUCUUAGGAGCCAUACCUGCAAACACAACCAGGAAAUACCAUACACAACAGAAUAAAUAAUUAAACAUCAGUAUGGAAGCAAUAAAGAGCAAUUGGAGUGUCAGAGGCUUGUUUCACAAAAAUUGUUUCAGGUUCUGAUGCAACUCGCCUCGCGAGCUAUUGUACUCGCCAUGGCGAGUUGAUAUGAAUUUCUGGGUUUCCAGAUGAAAACUCGCUAGGCGAGUGAUGGAGCUCGCCAUGGCGAGUUGCCCAGAAAUUGGCAAAAAUCGAACCUUUUUCAAAAUUUCUUCAGUUUCAUGAUUCCUAACCCUAAAUAUGACCAUUGUGACCCUUAUGAUGACAGUAAGAUGAACUAAAUCAUGCAUUUGAUAAAAAAAAAUCAAAUUUGUUCCACAAAACCCAUUUUAUUUGAACUAUUUACAAAAGGGUUAUCAAAAGAUGUGGAUUUGAAUGAAGGACAUUACGAAUUUAUGCAUGAUUUUGUUUCAUCUCAGUCAUGUGGGUACCAUUUUUACAGAUUUAGAAUCCAUAGCAAAAUCUUCUAACCUAGGGUUUUGAACAUUAUGAAAUUAAAUGGUAACAGAGAAGAGAUGAACAAACCUGAUUUGAAGUAAUGCAAGUGCAGGAAAGAUUAUGCAAUGAACUUGACUUAAAUUGACUUGAUGAAUUGGAAAAGAAAAAAUCUAUAGGGUUUGUUGUUUGUGUUUGGAGAAGAAAUGUUUGAGAGAUUUUGAUGAGAGAGAAAUGAAAACCGAAAAUGAAAAGAAAAUUGUUGGUAAUGGGUAGUUAAGAGAAAUAAAUGAAGGAGUUAGUGGUCUUGGACUCCGUAACUGUCAGAACUGCUACUGCUCGCCUCGCGAGCGGAUUUACUCGCAGUGGCGAGUGAUUUGGUAGUCAACGCAGUCAAUGACCAGUUUACUCGCCAUGGCGAGUUGUUUUACUCGCCUCGCGAGCUGUGACAGUUCACAAAUUGCUUUCUUUUGGCUUCUGAUUUUUGAAUGAUUUUGGUAUGCACAUGACUCCUACACCUAAUAUGCAUUAAAACUGUAAAUAUACUUACAAAAUUGGGGUGCCUCCCAACAAGCGCUUGUUUAUCGUCAUUAGCUCGACGCUUUUCUCAUUAAGUUCACGGAUUGUCAAGUGAAAUUGUCGACGUAAGCCGAUCAAUCUCACCUCCAAAAUAGGGCUUGAGUCUCUGCCCAUUCACAGUCCAGCUAGCUUUGGUAACUGGAUCUUCAAGCUCUACUGCACCAUAUGGUUUUACUUCUUUAACCAUGAAAGGUCCAGACCAUUUAGACUUUAACUUGCCCGGAAAGAGUCGUAAUCUUGAAUUGAACAGCAGCACCAUCUGUCCAGGCAUAAAGUUUCUCUGCAUAAUCCUUUUGUCAUGGUAUUUCUUGAUUUUUUCUUUAUACAAUCUUGAGGAUUCAUAGGCUUGGUUCCUCAUUUCCUCAAGUUGAUGCAUUUGAAUCUUCCGUCUUUCACCGGCUUUCUCUUGAUCGAAGUUCAGAAAUUUGAGUGCCCAAAAAGCUUUGUGUUCGAGCUCUACCGGUAAAUGACAUGCUUUGCCGUAGACCAUUUGAAAUGGUGUGAGACCUAUAGGAGACUUGUAUGCUGUCCUAUAAGCCCACAAGGCUUCAUCAAGCUUCGUCGACCAAUCUUUCCGAGAUGUUGAGACUGUUUUUUCAAGAAUUCUUUUCACUUCUCGGUUUGAAACCUCGGCUUGGCCGUUGGUUUGAGGAUGGUAUGGCGAUGCUACCUUGUGUUUCACACCAUAGUGGUCUAAUGCCUUAGCAAGCGGUGUGUUGCAGAAAUGGGACCCUCCAUCACUUAUUAAAACUCUUGGUGUUCCGAAUCGGGUGAAGAUAUUCUUUUUAAGGAACUUUACCACCGUCUUGCUGUCGGCUUUUGGCGAUGCGACGGCUUCCACCCACUUGGAGACAUAGUCUACGGCUACCAAGAUGUAUUCAUUUGAGUAUGAUGAUGGGAACGGGCCAACAAAAUCAAUACCCCAACAAUCAAAUACCUCCACUUCAAGAAUACUUUGUAAGGGCAUCUCAUUUCGCUUUGAUAUUGAUCCGGUUCUUUGACAUUCAUCGCAAAACUUGCAAUGAGUGUAGGCAUCCUUGAAGAGUGUCGGCCAAUAGAAACCGGAUUGAAGCACUUUUGUGGCGGUCCUUUCCCCAUUGAAGUGUCCUCCAUAAGGAGAAUUGUGGCAUUGCCACAAUAUUUUCUUUGCUUCUUCAUUAUCAACACACCUACGCAAGAGGUUAUCUGCUCCAAUUUUAAACAAGUAUGGUUCGUCCCAUACAUAGUGAUUCGCUUCAUGGAGGAACCUCUUGCGUUGUUGCCAAGUGUAAUCUUCAGGAAUGAAUUCGGUUGCUUUAUAGUUUGCCAUGUCGGCAAACCAUGGUCUUUCUUUAAUAGCUAGCAACUUUUCAUCCGGGAAUUCUUCGAGAACUUCCGGUUCAUUCUUUGUUACCUCUUUGUUCAUGAGCCUUGAAAGAUGAUCAGCUACAAGAUUCUCUGUUCCUUUUUUAUCUUUUAUCUCUAAGUCAAACUCUUGUAGUAGCAACAUCCAUCGGAUGAGCCUUGGUUUUGAGUCGGACUUAGUGAGAAGAUACUUGAUAGCUGCAUGGUCAGUGUACACAACAAUUCUUGAACCUGCGAGGUAUGAACGAAACUUUUCCAAUGCAUAUACUAUUGCGAGUAACUCUUUCUCAGUGGUAGCAUAAUUAAUUUGUGCUUCAUUUAAAACUUUACUCGCAUAAUGUACAGCAUGGAAAACUUUGUUCUUUCGUUGACCUAGUACGGCACCAACAACAUAAUCACUAGCAUCACACAUUAAUUCAAAGAUAAAGAUUAAAGUGCAAGAAUAACAUCAAUAUCAAAUCAAAUGCUAGAACCAUAUAUUUAUAGAUCAAAAGAUUACAUGUUAAGCUAAGAUCAAGUACCUCUAAUCCCAACAAAGGAGAUUUAGCUACUCAUUGUCAUGGAAGCCUUGCAAGAAUGAAUUGAAGGAGAAAGAUUCAUUUACAACUUGUGAUUUCUCAACAAAGAAUGAAGAAUCCACUUUCUAUCACUCUCACUCUAUGAAGAACAAGCCCUAUCUCUCUCUCUAAGAAUAUUACAAGUGAAAAGUAUGAAAAACUCAGAGAAAAACUAAGUAUCUGAAUGAAAUGGUUGAGUGGGCUAUUUAUAGAAUUCUGAUUCUGCAUCUACUCGCCUCGCGAGCUCCUUCAUUCGCCAUGGCGAGUUGAGGUUCCUUCGCCAUUGGGUUUGUGCCACGUCAGCUGUGAGAGGCUAAACCGCCCUAACUCGCCUCGCGAGUAAAAUCAUUCGCCAUGGCGAGUGGGCUCGCCUUCCACUCGCCAUUGCGAGCUGGUGGCGUGUAAUCUCUGUUGGCUACUGGAAUUGCUCGCCUUCUACUGGCCAUGGCGAGUUGGGGGCGAGUAACCUUCAUUUUUCAGCCUUUUUGUACUUUUCUUCAUUUUUGCUCUUUGCUUGAUGUCUUGAGUUCAAAUCCUGCACAAAUGGGCGAAGUAAGAUAAAUAAAGCGUAAAAGGGCAAUAAUCACUUAUCUCUCGGCUUUUCCCUUAAUAACUUGCAUAAUAAGUAACAAAAGUGCCUAAAAUAUAUCACUUAAAAUACAACUUUCUAGCACUUAUCAAUACAUAUAGAUGACAUUCCCAAAACCGCUUUCCGGACACACCAUGGUCACUACGAGUUUAAGGUAAUGCCCUUUGGCCUUUCUAAUGCUCCAUCUACAUUGCAAGACACCAUGAACAAACUCUUAGCACCAUUCCUCCGCAAAAACAUCGUUGUUUUCUUUGAUGACAUACUUGUCUACAACACAACCCUCCAUGAACACAUCAUACACCUUGAUAACGUUCUCUCCACACUAGCCAUAGCCAAAUUCGUCCUAAAACGUUCCAAAUGUUUGUUCGCACAACGCCGCUUAGAGUAUCUACGCCAUAUCAUAUCCCAAUAGGGCAUACAGGUUGACCCAACCAAAAUCCAAGCUAUGAUCGAUUGGCGAAAUUCUUCCUCUACCACAAACCUUCGUGGUUUCCUCGGCCUUACUGGAUUCUACCGAAAAUUUAUCAAAGGAUAUGCCACAAUAGCCACACCCCUCACCUCACUCCUCAAAAAAGACGCUUUCACAUGGAACCCCGAAGCUCAAACCGCAUUUGAUACACUCAAACAAGUUAUGACAACAGCCCCCAUCCUAUCCACUCCCAAUUCUCCAUCCCAUUUGACCUCAAAACAAACGCAUCCGGAAAAGCAAUGGGCGCGCUCCUGAUGCAAAACAACAAACCCAUCGCUUUUUUCAGCAAACAAUUCUGCCCCCGCCUCAUCCGUUCCUCCACCUAUGUAAGAGAAUUACAUGCUAUCACUACGGCUGUUAAAAAAUGGCGACAAUACCUUUUAGGACACCCCUUCAACAUACAUACAGACCACAAAAAGCCUCAAAGAACUUAUCUCACAAGUCUUUCAGACUCCGGAGCAGCAAGUAUAUCUCUCUAAACUCCUUGAUUUUGAUUUUAAAAUUCUGUACAAAACUGGGAAAACAAAUGUUGUUGCUGAUGCUUUGUCACGAAUUGAAAAUGAGAAUCAAUGUCUCACCCUUACAAUGCCCCACUUUGUUUUCCUUGACGACUUACGCACACAACUCAACAACACACCAGAUUUCACAUCCCUCCUAACCCAAAUUCAACAAAAUCCCACCAAUUUUCCUGACCACAAAAUUCACCAGGGUAUAAUAUUUUACAAAAACAAAAUUUGGCUUAACACUUCAAACCCAUACAAAAUCAAACUCCUCAACGAAUUCCACAACUCCCCCAUCAGCGGUCACAUGGGUUUUCAAAAGACAUACAUACGCCUCCGAGACAAUUUCUAUUGGACCGGUAUGUGUGAAGAUUGCAAAAAUUUUGUGUCCCAAUGCCUCCCUUGCCAAACCACCAAAUACGAAACAAAACGCCCCGCUGGCCUCCUACAACCCUUACCUUUACCUACAGCCAUAUGGAAAGAUCUUUCCCUAGACUUCAUCACCGGCCUACCCCCUUCCCAUGGUUUCACUGUCAUUCUUGUAAUUGUGGACAACUUUUCCAAAGGAGCACAUUUCGCAGCUCUUUCUACUCACUUAAUCCUGAUAGAAUAUUAUAUUUAAUAAAAUUAAUAGAAUAGAAUAUUCGGUCAUUAUUGGCUAUUAUUAGUUCCCUGUAAAUAGGCUGUAUCAUAAUUAGUAAGUUGAUCAGACGUUACACAAUAGUUGUAUAUAUUCUAUUCAGAUCAAUGAGAAAGGCAAGCAUUUUGUUAUCUUACAUGGUAUCACUCCUAACCGAUCCCUCUCUCUAAUAAAAUAAAAAAAAAAGAAAGAAAGAAAAACACAAAAACAGAGUCGCAGAACUCUGUUCUCCUUCUUCUCACUCACGCACGCACAGUGCCGCCGCGCCCCUCCCUCUUCCUUUGCGCCGCCGCCGCCUCUGUUGCCAUGUAAUCCGAUCGAUCUUCGAUCCUUGACCAGCAGUGCUCGUGCGUCCCUUCCUCCACUUCGACCGUGCCCACUGCGCCGUCAUCGCCCCCUUUCUCAAUCUGGUUGUGUUUCACCUCCGAUCACCUCCGUUUCUCAUUUUUCUAUGCUGUUCUACCUUAACCAUCACUCAUCAUGUUCGAUUCCGACCUCAACGAUGAUCAGAGCAGCGCCGCCGCCUCUGCCUUCGCCGCUGCCGCCGCCGCUGCUGUCAAUUCGAUCAUUUUCAAAAAUGGCUUUCAUCCCGCUCUUGUUGUCUCUAAUAUUAGGAACCACAUUCCUAUUAGUCUUGAGUUGGAAAAGGACCAAUAUGGAACCUGGGCGGAACUCUUCUGCAUUCAUGCUCGUUCUCAUCGAGUAUUGCAUCACAUUGUUCCCUCUACAGACAAAGCACCGCCACUACCUGCAGACGCCGAAUAUGAGCAAUGAACCACUCUAGAUGCCACCGUGCUUUAGUGGAUUUAUUCCACAAUUUCCACUGACUUACUGAUGACUAUUUUGGAACCAAACUCCACUGCGGUAGCCGCAUGGAAUUGUUUGGUAGACAUCUUUCAAGACAAUCAAAACGCCCGUGCUGUCACUCUCGAGCAAGAGUUCUCGAACACCCGCAUGGAAGACUUUCCCAACGUCUCUGCAUACUGCCAGCGUCUCAAGAUGCUCUCUGACCAAUUGAGGAAUGUCGGCUCUCCCGUCAACAAUCACCGUCUGGUACUCCAACUGAUAUCUGGACUCCCUGAAGCUUAUCGUAGUGUGGCCACCCUGAUUCGCCAGAGUAAUCCUCUUCCUGCAUUUUAUCAGGCUCGCUCCAUGCUCACCUUGGAAGAAGCUGGCAUGGCUAAAAUGGCUAACACCGGCUCUCCUGCUGCCUUACACACCACUCAGCAGUGACCUCCUGAGGAUACCUCUCAACGUGGCAACCGUCGUCCCAACAACCCCAACAACCGGUCUCGCUCUCGUGGCAAUCAGGGUCGCGGAGGGGGGCGUGGUAACCGUAGCGGACCUCAGUCUGGAGCUCCCAACACCUCCCCACCCUGGUCUUCUCCUCCUUGGCCGCAGCAAUAACAAUACCCUGCCUGGCAAUCAUGGGGUUGGACCCCACCACCAUGGGCCAUACCUCCGUGUCCGUAUCCCACAUCUUAGUGGACACGCCCUACUGGCCGUACCGCUCCUCCGAGACAGUCGGCCAUCCUAGGACAGCGUCCUCAGGCGUAUGCAGCUUCUACUUCAUCUCCUACACCAACUGACAUUGAGGCAGCUAUGCACACCAUGUCUCUACAUCCUCCUGAUACUCAGUGGUACAUGGAUACCGGCGCAACAUCUCACACGACAGCAUCACGAGGUAAUCUCUCAUCUUAUUCUCCUAUAAGUCAUUUAAAUCAGAAAAUUAUUGUUGGCAGUGGCCAUGGAAUUCCAAUUCACGGCACCGAACACACACAACUCACAACCUCUAACCAACCCAUUCACUUAAAACAUGCCCUUCAUGCCCCAAAAAUUAUUAAAAAUUUAAUCUCUGUAAGACAACUCACCACUGACAACAAUGUAUCUGUUUCUUUUGACCCUUUUGGUUUUACUGUCUCUGAUUUUCAGACGGGGAUUCCUCUUCUCAGAUGUAAUAGUCGUGGCGACCUAUAUCCAGUCACCCCUCCCAACAAUUUUGUCGAUCUUACGUCCAGUCUAUGGCACGAUCGUCUUGGUCAUCCUGGCGUGUCUGUUUUAAAUUCCCUACGCAAGAAUAAAUUCAUAUGUUGUGAAACUUCUCAUAAUUCUGUCAUCUAUGACUCGUGUGUUUUAGGCAAACAAGUUAAAUUGCCAUUUUUUAAUUCUCAAACUGCUACUCUCAUGCCUUUUGAUAUUUUACAUAGUGACUUGUGGACUUCUCCUGUUUUAAGUUCUGCUGGCCAUAAAUAUUAUGUUUUAUUUUUAGACGACUUCACAAAUUUCUUGUGGACUUUUCCUAUUAGUAGAAAAUCUCAGGUUUUUGAAAUGUUCAAGUCACUUACUUCUCUUAUUCACACUCAAUUUUUGCAAAAUGUAAAAUCCUUCCAAUGUGACAAUGGCGGUGAAUAUAAUAAUGAGCUAUUUCAACAAUAUUGUAUUACUAAUGGCCUUAUUUUUCGCUUCUCUUGCCCUCACACAUCCUCCCAAAAUGGUAAAGCGGAACGAAAAAUAAGAACCAUUAAUAAUAUGAUUCGCACUAUGCUAGCUCACUCUUCUGUUCCCCCACAAUUUUGGCAUCAUGCACUUCACAUGGCAACUUAUUUGCUAAAUAUUCUUCCCUGUAAAACACUUCAAAAUCAAUCACCAACACAGCUCCUUUACCACCGUGAUCCCAGCUACACACAUUUACGAGUCUUUGGUUGUUUGUGUUAUCCAUUACUCCCAUCACCUACCAUUCAUAAAUUACAACCCCGUUCUACUCCGUGUGUCUUCUUAGGUUAUCCCCUGAAUCAUAGAGGUUACAAGUGUUUUGAUUUGUCUAACAGAAAGUUAAUAAUUUCGAGGCAUGUUAUCUUUGAUGAAACUCAAUUUCCCUUCACCAAAGUACACUACCCUUCCCCUCACUCCUAUGACUUUCUAGACAAUGACCUACACCCCUACCUCAUACAACAGUGGCAAACUCAACAUCCACCACCGGAUACUCCUAACCAACAACCAGCAACAACCACAAUGGCCAAACCAAUCGACCCAACUCCACUAAAUUCACAUACUACAAUCUCCCCUACCUUAACCUCACCAAUUCAACCACAUCCUCCACCACCUACCCGCACCAUCAUCACCCGUAGCAUGAAUGGUAUUACUAAACCCCGCACAAUGUUUAACUUAUCCCUUUCACACUCAAACCACACCAUCUCUCCCAUACCUAAAAAUCACAAACUAGCCUUAUCGUACCCGAAUUGGAAAUCCGCAAUGCAAUCUGAGUUUGAUGCACUUAUUAGAAAUAAGACGUGGGAUUUAGUUCCUCGCCCUAGAGAUGCUAAUCUUAUUCGAUGUAUGUGGAUUUUUAAACAUAAGAAAAAUUUUGAUGGGUCUUUUGAUCGCUAUAAGGCUCGCCUUGUUUGUGAUGGCAGGUCACAGGUUGCAGGUGUGGAUUGUGAUGAGACUUUCAGCCCGGUGGUAAAACCCGCUACCAUUCGAACAGUACUCACCAUUGCUCUCUCUCACUCAUGGCCCAUUCAUCAGCUGGAUGUUCAGAAUGCUUUUUUUGCAUGGUGAUCUUCACGAAACUGUCUACAUGCAUCAACCAUUGGGUUUUCGCGACUCUUGUCAUCCGGAUUACGUUUGUCGUUUGAAGAAGUCGCUUUAUGGUCUCAAGCAAGUGCCUCGAGCAUGGUACCAACGCUUUGCUGACUAUGUAACUACCAUUGGUUUUCGACAUAGCACAUCAGAUCAUUCUCUCUUCAUAUACCGACAGCAAUCCGACAUGGCCUACAUUCUGCUGUGGACGACAUCAUCCUUAUUACUUCCACUCAUGCCCUUCGCCAAUCCAUUAUGUCCCUCUUGGCAUCCGAGUUUGCAAUGAAGGAUUUGGGUCCUCUGAGCUAUUUUUUGGGUAUUGCCGUCUCUCGUCAUCCUGGUGGUCUCUUUCUCAGUCAAAGCACCUAUGCCUCUGAAAUCAUUGACCGUGCUGGGAUGCAAUCUUGCAAAUCAUCUGUCACCCCUGUUGACACUAAACAAAAACUCAGCACUUCAUCAGGCACACCUUAUGAAGAUCCAUCUCUCUAUCGUAGUCUUGCAGGAGCUUUACAAUACCUCACAUUCACUAGACCCGACAUCUCUUACGCUGUUUAGCAAGUUUGUCUUCACAUGCAUGCACCUAGUACAGAACACAUGCUUGCUCUAAAUCUCAUUCUUCGUUAUGUUCAGGGUACCGUACAUUUUGGACUACAUUUAUCACCAUCUCCCAUCACCAAACUCCUUUCCUACACUGACUCCGAUUGGGGUGGAUGUCCUGACACCCGACGUUCCACUUCUGGAUACUGUGUCUUUCUCGGUGACAACCUCAUCGCUUGGUCCUCCAAGAGACAACCCACUCUCUCUCGGUCUAGUGCUGAAGCGGAAUAUAGAGGUGUUGCUAAUGUUGUGUCUGAGUCAUGUUGGCUUCGUAAUCUCUUACUGGAGCUCCACUUUCCUAUUCCUCAGGCUACUUUGGUGUAUUGUGACAAUGUUAGUGCCAUCUACCUAUCUGGCAACCCUGUGCAGCAUCAACGUACCAAACACAUUGAAAUGGACAUACACUUUGUACGGGAAAAAGUAGCUCGUGGUCAGGCACGCGUCCUCCAUGUUCCAUCUCGACAUCAGAUUGCAGAUAUCUUCACCAAAGGGCUUCCUCGCAUUCUCUUUGAUGAUUUUCGGACCAGUCUCAGCGUCCGUGAACCUCCCGCUUCGACUGUGGGGGUCUGAUAGAAUAUUAUAUUUAAUAAAAUUAAUAGAAUAGAAUAUUCGGUCAUUAUUGGCUAUUAUUAGUUCCCUGUAAAUAGGCUGUAUCAUAAUUNUCGGUCAUUAUUGGCUAUUAUUAGUUCCCUGUAAAUAGGCUGUAUCAUAAUUAGUAAGUUGAUCAGACGUUACACAACAGUUGUAUAUAUUCUAUUUAGAUCAAUGAGAAAGGCAAGCAUUUUGUUAUCUUACAUGGUAUCACUCCUAACCGAUCCCUCUCUCUAAAUAUAUAUAUAUAUAAAAAAAAAAAAAAAAAGAGAGAAAGAAAGAAAAACAGAAGUCGUAGAACUCUGUUCUCCUUCUUCUCACGCACGCGCAGCGCCGCCGCACCCCUCCCUCUUACCUUGCGCCGCCGCCGCCUCUGUUGCCCUGUAAUCCGAUCGACCUCCGAUCCUUGACCAGCAGUGCUCGUGCGUCACUUCCUCCACUUCGACCGUGCCCACCGCGCCGUCGUCGCCCCCUUUCUCAAUCUGGUUGUGUUUCACCUCCGAUCACCUCCGUUUCUCUUCUUUCCGUGCUGUUCUACCUUAACCAUCACUCAUCAUGUCCGAUUCCGACCUCAAUGAUGACCAGAGCAGCGCCGCCGCUGCCUCUGCCUCCGCUGCUGCCGCUGCCUCCGCCGCUGUCAAUUCGACCAUUUUCAAAAAUGGCUUUCAUCCCGCUCUUGCUGUCUCCAAUAUUAGGAAUCACAUUCCUAUUAUUCUUGAGAUGGAAAAGGACCAAUAUGGAACUUGGGCGGAACUCUUCUGCAUUCAUGCUCGUUCUCAUCGAGUAUUGCAUCACAUUGUUCCCUCUGCAGACAAAACACCGCCACUACCUGCAAACGUCGAAUAUGAGCAAUGGACUACUCUAGAUGCCACCGUGCUUCAGUGGAUUUAUUCCACAAUUUCCACUUACUUACUGAUGACUAUUUUGGAACCAAACUCCACUGCGGUAGCCGCAUGGAAUCGUUUGGCAGACAUCUUUCAAGACAAUCAAAACGCCCGUGCUGUCACUCUCGAGCAAGAGUUCUCCAACACCCGCAUGGAAGACUUUCCCAACGUCUCUGCAUACUGCCAGUGUCUCAAGAUGCUCUCUGACCAAUUGAGGAAUGUCGGCUCUCCCGUCAACAAUCACCGUCUGGUACUCCAACUGAUAUCUGGACUCCCUGAAGCUUAUCGUAGUGUGGCCACCCUGAUUCGCCAGAGUAAUCCUCUUCCUGCAUUUUAUCAGGCUCGCUCCAUGCUCACCUUGGAAGAAUCUGGCAUGGCUAAAAUGGCUAACACCGGCUCUCCUGCUGCCUUACACACCACUCAGCAGUGACCUCCUGAGGACACCUCUCAACGUGGCAACCGUCGUCCCAACAACCACAACAACCGGUCUCGUUCUCGUGGCAAUCAGGGUCGCGGAGGGGGGCGUGGUAACCGUAGCAGACCUCAAUCCGGAGCUCCCAACACCUCCCCAUCCUGGUCUUCUCCUCCUUGGGCGCAGCAACAACAAUACCCUGCCUGGCAAUCAUGGGGUUGGAUCCCACCACCAUGGGCCAUACCUCCGUGUCCGUAUCCCACAUCUCAGUGGACACACCCUACUGGCCCUACCGCUCCUCCGAGACAGCCGGGCAUCCUAGGACAGCGUCCUCAGGCGUAUGCAGCUUCUACUUCAUCUCCUACACCAAUUGACAUUGAGGCAGCUAUGCACACCAUGUCUCUACAUCCUCCUGAUACUCAGUGGUACAUGGAUACCGGCGCAACAUCUCACACGACAUCAUCACGAGGUAAUCUCUCGUCUUAUUCUCCUAUAAGUCAUUUAAAUCAGAAAAUUAUUGUUGGCAGUGGCCAUGGAAUUCCAAUUCACGGCACCGUACACACACAACUCACAACCUCUAACCAACCCAUUCACUUAAAACAUGUCCUUCAUGCCCCGAAAAUUAUUAAAAAUUUAAUCUCUGUAAGACAACUCACCACUGACAACAAUGUAUCUGUUUCUUUUGACCCCUUUGGUUUUACUGUCUCUGAUUUUCAGACGGGGAUUCCUCUUCUCAGAUGUAAUAGUCGUGGCGACCUAUAUCCAGUCACCCCUCCCAACAAUUUUGUCGGUCUUACGUCCAGUCUAUGGCACGAUCGUCUUGGUCAUCCUGGCGUGUCUGUUUUAAAUUCCCUACGCAAGAAUAAAUUCAUAUGUUGUGAAACUUCUCAUAAUUCUGUCAUCUGUGACUCGUGUGUUUUAGGCAAACAAGUUAAAUUGCCAUUUUUUAAUUCUCAAACUGCUACUCUCAUACCUUUUGAUAUUUUACAUAGUGACUUGUGGACUUCUCCUGUUUUAAGUUCUGCUGGCCAUAAAUAUUAUGUUCUAUUUUUAGACGACUUCACAAAUUUCUUGUGGACCUUUCCUAUUAGUAGAAAAUCUCAGGUUUUUGAAAUGUUCAAGUCACUUACUUCUCUUAUUCACACUCAAUUUUUGCAAAAUGUAAAAUCCUUCCAGUGUGACAAUGGCGGUGAAUAUAAUAAUGAGCUAUUUCAACAAUAUUGUACUACUAAUGGCCUUAUUUUUCGCUUCUCUUGCCCUCACACAUCCUCCCAAAAUGGAAAAGCGGAACGAAAAAUAAGAACCAUUAAUAAUAUGAUUCGCACUAUGCUAGCUCACUCUUCUGUUCCCCCACAAUUUUGGCAUCAUGCACUUCACAUGGCAACUUAUUUGCUAAAUAUUCUUCCCUGUAAAACACUUCAAAAUCAAUCACCAACACAGCUCCUUUACCACCGUGAUCCCAGCUACACACAUUUACGAGUCUUUGGUUGUCUGUGUUAUCCAUUACUCCCAUCACCUACCAUUCAUAAAUUACAACCCCGUUCUACUCCGCGUGUCUUCUUAGGUUAUCCCCUGAAUCAUAGAGGUUACAAGUGUUUUGAUUUGUCUAACAGAAAGUUAAUAAUUUCGAGGCAUGUUAUCUUUGGUGAAACUCAAUUUCCCUUCACCAAAAUACACUACCCUUCCCCUCACUCAUAUGACUUUCUAGACAACGACUUACACCCCUACCUCAUACAACAGUGGCAAACUCAACAUCCACCACCGGAUACUCCUAACGAACCACCAGCAACAACCACAAUGGCCCAACCAAUCGACCCAACUCCACUAAAUUCACAUACUACAAUCUCCCCUACCUUAAUCUCACCAAUUCAACCACAUCCUCCACCACCUACCCGCACCAUCAUCACCCGUAGCAUGAAGGGUAUUACUAAACCCCGCACAAUGUUUAACUUAUCCCUUUCACACUCAAACCACACCAUCUCUCCCAUACCUAAAAAUCACAAACUAGCCUUAUCGGACCCGAAUUGGAAAUCCGCAAUGCAAUCUGAGUUUGAUGCACUUAUUAGAAAUAAGACGUGGGAUUUAGUUCCUCGCCCUAGAGAUGCUAAUCUUAUUCGAUGUAUGUGGAUUUUUAAACAUAAGAAAAAUUAUGAUGGGUCUUUUGAGCGCUAUAAGGCUCGCCUUGUUUGUGAUGGCAGGUCACAGGUUGCAGGUGUGGAUUGUGAUGAGACUUUCAGCCCGGUGGUAAAACCCGCUACCAUUCAAACAGUACUCACCAUUGCUCUCUCUCACUCAUGGCCCAUUCAUCAGCUGGAUGUUCAGAAUGCUUUUUUGCAUGGUGAUCUUCACGAAACUGUCCACAUGCAUCAACCAUUGGGUUUUCACGACUCUCGUCAUCCGGACUACGUUUGUCGUUUGAAGAAGUCGCUUUAUGGUCUCAAGCAAGCGCCUCGAGCAUGGUACCAACGCUUUGCUGACUAUGUAAUUACCAUUGUUUUUCGACAUAGCACAUCAGAUCAUUCUCUCUUCAUAUACCGACAGCAAUCCGACAUGGCCUACAUUCUGCUCUAUGUGGACGACAUCAUCCUUAUUACUUCCACUCAUGCCCUUCGCCAAUCCAUUAUGUCCCUCUUGGCAUCCGAGUUUGCAAUGAAGGAUUUGGGUCCCCUGAGCUAUUUUUUGGGUAUUGCCGUCUCUCGUCAUCCUGGUGGUCUCUUUCUCAGUCAAAGCACCUAUGCCUCUGAAAUCAUUGACCGUGCUGGGAUGCAAUCUUGCAAAUCAUCUGCCACCCCUGUUGACACUAAACAAAAACUCAGCACUUCAUCAGGCACACCUUAUGAAGAUCCAUCUCUCUAUCGUAGUCUUGCAGGAGCUUUACAAUACCUCACAUUCACUAGACCCGACAUCUCUUACGCUGUUCAGCAAGUUUGUCUUCACAUGCAUGCACCCAGUACAGAACACAUGCUUGCUCUAAAACGCAUUCUUCGUUAUGUUCAGGGUACCGUACAUUUUGGACUACAUUUAUCACCAUCUCCCAUCACCAAACUCCUUUCCUACACUGACACCGAUUGGGGUGGAUGUCCUGACACCCGACGUUCCACUUCUGGAUACUGUGUCUUUCUCGGUGACAACCUCAUCGCUUGGUCCUCCAAGAGACAACCCACUCUCUCUCGGUCUAGUGCUGAAGCGGAAUAUAGAGGUGUUGCUAAUGUUGUGUCUGAGUCAUGUUGGCUUCGUAAUCUCUUACUGGAGCUCCACUUUCCUAUUCCUCAGGCUACUUUGGUGUAUUGUGACAAUGUUAGUGCCAUCUACCUAUCCGGCAACCCUGUGCAGCAUCAACGUACCAAACACAUUGAAAUGGACAUACACUUUGUACGGGAAAAAGUAGCUCGUGGUCAGGCACGCGUCCUCCAUGUUCCAUCUCGACAUCAGAUUGCAGAUAUCUUCACCAAAGGGCUUCCUCGCAUUCUCUUUGAUGAUUUUCGGACCAGUCUCAGCGUCCGUGAACCUCCCGCUUCGACUGUGGGGGUCUGAUAGAAUAUUAUAUUUAAUAAAAUUAAUAGAAUAGAAUAUUCGGUCAUUAUUGGCUAUUAUUAGUUCCCUGUAAAUAGGCUGUAUCAUAAUUAGUAAGUUGACCAGACGUUACACAACAGUUGUAUAUAUUCUAUUCAGAUCAAUGAGAAAGGCAAGCAUUUUGUUAUCUUACAAAUCCAACUUCAUCAUGUAAUUUAUACCAACGCCUCUCAUAUUACAAAAUCAAACCCCUCCAUCCUCCUUAGGUUUGCAAAUAGUAUCCACAAACGUAUUGAAUGACAUUUCCUUACAUUAGAAGUAGAGUGCAAAUUAAAGUUUCUACAAAGCCCCUCCACAUCAUCACAAAUAGAUUUAGGAUUAUUUGAAGAUUACAUCGCAUAAUUCGGAAAACUCAUAAUACAACUUUGAGCUAGAGUGAUUUGGUCGGCCAUAUGAGUUAACUUUCCACCCAAAAAUUUUACUCUUGAUUGAUAUAGAGAAUCCGAUAAUACCAGGGAUCGAAUCUUGGACUACACAUUUGUAUCCGCACAUAACACAAUUGUUAAUACUUAGGAGUAAAUUCAAUCACUCAAAUUUUCUGGAGUACUAUUGUCAAAAGAAAUUAUUCGAGAGAAUUGAAGUGUAAGUUUAGAAUAUCAUAUUGGUCAGGAAUGUGCUAUAUGAAGAAUAGACUCACAAACCUCGUAUUAUAACCAACACUGUACAUCAGACUACUUUUACAACUCAUAAAACACAGAAAAAAGAAAGAAAAUACAACCAAAAAAAUUGAAUUAAUUUUUUCUUAUCAAACUUGAUAUAAAAAAUUUAGAUGAUGACACAGCCAUUAGGAUCCUCUUCAACGCUUACGGCACGGUAGUAUGAAUUGUAUUGUGGAUUCAUCUGAUGAUUAUAAUAGGUAGUAGGUGUACCAUAGAGCAUGAAAGGAUUAAUUAUCAUUGUUGAAUCUUUCUUAUCAUCUUCCUUCUUUUUAUCAUCUUUUUUAGGUUCUUCUUUCUUUUCCUCUUUAGCUGGUCCAACUGAAAGUAUUUCUGCAUGACAUAACUUCCUUAACUUAGCCACUACACGUAUUGGAUCAAUAUCUCCUAUUAAGGUCAUUUUCUUGUCUUUCAUGUCUAUUGAAACUGAUUCAACCCCUGCAACAAUAUUACAAAUACAAUCUUAGCAUAUCAUUAAAAAAUUUAAUGAAGUAUUGAUUCGAUAGAUUUGGAUUGUGUAGUGUGACCGUACACAAUCGUCCAUAUCUAAACUGUCCAAUCAGAUUUUCAAUUUCCAAUACACUUUAUUAAUCUAAAAUAUCGAACUUAUAACUCACUAUCAAUAGAAUUUAUUUUUUUCAUGAAUUAAAAAAGCAGAAUUUUAGUUAAUUCAAUACCUGAAAGGCCAGAGACUGCUUUCAUAGCUUUUUGCUUGAUUUUGUCUUCAUUUAUUUCCAACUUUAACACAACUUUCUGUAACAAAAAUAUCAAGUAGUUGUUAGAACAGAACACUUACUUUCCUUCUAACUCUAAAACUAAGAUUACCAAAGAACUAGUUGAAAAUUCACCAAUCAUACUUUAGCUAUGAUGAAGGAGAUAAAAAGUGGUUUUAAUGAAGGUAAAGUAUUAACUAACCUUCAUAUUGUUAUGGAAGCUACUGAGCUGAGGUAGAAGAACUCUUGAUGCAAAUUGUAAUAGAAGGGAAAGAAAAGUUAAGGAGAUAAUUUUUGAAUUUGAAAUUAAGUUAUGAAAUGAAGAUGAUAAUUUGAUGAUUAUUUAUAGUAUAAGGUAUGGAAGAGUUGAUGAUAGAGGUUGGCUGGGUCAACCGAAACUAGUCAAGACAAGUACUGGUGUAGUGUGUGGUCUUCUUCGAAGCUAGUAGGAGAAAUAAAAGACUUUUUCUAAUCUAUAGUUUGUUUGAUUUCCAAAUUCCAAUAUACCGUUCCUUCGUGGAACAACGGAACCUACAAAAAUCAAAUCAAAAAGUAAUGGUUAAGGUGAUAAAUUUAUUAUUUUAGUUAUGGUGGGUUCUAUCGUGGACCUACGGUUGAUUAGUACUUAAAACUUUAACAUACGUCAUAGAAUUAGAAGUUCACUGUUGUCUUAAUCUUUUACAGCUGAGGCAAUAACUUGAUCCAUGUUAGAUUCAACAAAAGUAUAAAAAAAAAAAAUCAAAGAGUUGUUGUGGCACACAUGUUUGUUUUUUCUUGUUUUUGUUGUCAUCAUUCUUAUCGUCUUAGUUGUGAGAUAAGAAGAAACAUGAACCUUAUCUUAAAAAAGAUGAUGUUUGUAGUUGUUGGUGUUUUUAACUAUUUUCAAAUAAUUGUUAAUGACAAACCAUGUAUUAAAAGUGUUUAAUGUAGAAUGUUGCAUCUACAAGCUCAUCAUUUGCAUCCUUUCUUAGCUUUGACCGAGUUUCCAUUGGAGUAAUUGCUGGAUUGCAGCUAUUCAUUUUGAGUCUCUUCAAAAUGGCAGCAUAUUUUUGAUGCAAUAAUACUCCAUUUCAUGUUUUUAUUUCAAAAAAAAAAUUAAAUUCCAUUCCCGUGAAAAAACAAAGGUUCCCUGAGUCUGACAUUUCAAACGCAUGCAUCAUGCUAGCUUUGGACUUCAUUAGUUCAUCCUCAUUUAAACGUGUGAUCAACAAAUCAUCUACAUAUAAGUACAGAAUAAUCUGAUUUUGCUUAUUUGAACACUUCACAUAAACUCCUUGUUCUGAAUUCUGAUAUGCGUUUGGUGAAUCCCAAUUUAAUAAGAAUCGGAGUUCAAAUCUCGACCACCACCUAAAAAGUUGCCACUAAAAAACAAUUUUUCUAGAGAAUUUCAGUUUCAUUUUUGAAUGAAACAAUUACCAUAAACAAUUAUCUAAUUAUUGGUCCACCAAGGACAAUUACCAGACACUUCUAGCCGGUUCUAGGUCCCUUAAUAAAGUUAAAAUGUCGUUGUAUUAAAUUCGCCGCCGUACUCAAAUAGACUAGAGUAUGAUGCUUACGCUUGAGAUGAUGAAACAUAUUCAACGAUAUAUUAAUCAUUUGAAACAAAAAAAAAUAUUAAUCAUUUGAAACAAAGGACAUUACUCAAUGCUAGCCGAAGAUAAACACUUGUUUAUUUGUUUUUAUUAAUUAAUUAAUAAUUAAAUGUAAAAGUAUAUUUAUAGCUGUAACAUAUUUUGGUGGUGGUUGAGGUUUGAACCAUGAGCUUGUAUAUACUACAUUCGUCCAUAAUUAUAAUGCCCUUUUGAAAAAAUAACGGGAAUUAAGAUAGUGAAUAUUUGUAUUAAAUAUGUUUGUAAUUACUAUUGUUUUUACAAUUUUAUCAUUUAAGAAAGAGAGUUGGCUAAUGUUUUCAACAUUCUAUUUAUUGCUGAUUGAAAAAAAAAUGUAUAAUAAAUAGGGGCAUGUAUGUAAAGAAAUAAUUAAUAUAGUUGAAAAUAGAAUAGGGGUCUUAUAGAAAGGGACAAAAAAUUUUCUCAAAAGGGUCUUAUAAUUAGCGACGGAUGUAGUAUUAUAAACUAUCUCUACCAACUUACCUAAUUUUAUAAGAACUAUCAAUUGUAACAUCUAUUAUGAUUAAAUAUUUAGUAAAUAAAAUUAAAAUAAGCUCUUUCUAUAGUGUUUCAUAUUGUUCUUAUUGUUGCGGAGUAGUUUAUAUUCUAAUUGAGUUUAACUAUUUUUUUUAACUUAAUUAUAUUAUAUAAAGGAUAAAGUAAAUAAAAUAAUUUAAAUGACAAGUAAAAAUGAAAAAGGAAAAAAAAACCACAUCAAAAUCAUGUUUUGAUUUGAAUCUAUUGUCAUAAUGUUUAAUAUGAUUUGAUUAGGAUUUAAGAUUCACCAAAACUUUAUUUUUUAAAUAAAACUGUUGUUGCUUUUCCUCUCACAAUAAUGAGUUCAAAAUAUUCUUGUUAAUUACUACAUUUUAUAGAUAACAGUAGUAAGUAAAGUAUAUUAUUGUUUGUUUUUCCUUCUCGAUCCUUAUGAAUAAUAUUUCACAUUAAUUUUAAUGUAAGUGUAUAACAUUAUGUGAUAGCAGUGGCGGAGCCAAAAAAAUAGUUCGGAUUAGAGCUGUCAAAACGGGCUAGUCCGAAUAGGGCGGCCCGUUAGCCCGAGUAAAACUUAGGGUUUGGGCACAAAAAUUCUAGCCCGAAUUUUUCCAGGGUUUUUUAGCCCGACCCGAAAAAGCCCGCAACCCGUUUGGGCUGGCCCGCUCGGGCUAAGGGCAGCCCGCAAAAAAAAUAUAAGUUGGUUCAGUUUUGGUGUGGAGUGAAUGAAGGAUCAAGUGCAGACCAAGGAAUAAGCUUCCAACCAACUUUAAGUAAUGUCUAUAUUUUUCAUUCUGAGUUGAAACCAUUAUGUGUAUUCGAUCAAGUGUAGAAAUUGAAAGACUUAAUGGAUUUUUUAAACAUCUGCAGUAAUAUUUAGCGAAGAGAUCAGUUUUUCACACCUUAAUUUCUCUCCCUGCAAUUACUUUUAAUACGGGUGUAUUUGUUAUAACAUUAUAAGCUUUCCAAUAUAAUAGAUACUCCCUCCGUCCCUAAUUAUAAGACCCUUUUGAGAAUUUUUUUUGUCCCUUUUUAUAAGACCCCUUUGUUAUUUCCAACUACAUUAAUUAUUUCUUUACAUACAUACCCUUAUUUAUUAUACAUCUUUUUCUUCAAUCAGCAAUAAGUAGCAUAUGGAAAACAUAAACUAACUCUCUCUCUUAAGGAUAAAAUUGUAAAAACAAUAGUGAUUACAAACAACUUUAAUACUAAUAUCCGCUUUCUUAAUUCCCGUGAUUUUAGCAAAAGGGUCUUAUAAUUAGGGACGGAGGAAGUAAUAAAUUGUUUAUAUGUUAUAACAAUUCUUAUAAACUUAAUACAAAUUUGUUUAAAUUGUCUAUAUUUGUUUAACAAAUUAAAGCCAAAGGAUACAUUUAUUAGAAUGAUUAGGUAUUAUUGGUGCUACUACUAAUUUUUCACACUCUGUAGGCUACUAAAACACAACCUGCACAAAGCUUACACUGAUACCUCUGAUCUUCAGUAAUAUCUCUUGUCUUCGUUUAGUUUCUUUACUCACCCGAACAUAUUGUUAUUAUAAUUAUAUAAAUAUUUAAUUUCUAUAUGCUAUUAUUUUGUUCACUAAUUGUGUUUUUUUUGUUAGCUUGUACAAGUUAUGUUGAGAUCAUUAAAGGAUUAUUUUUUUUUAAAAAAAAGGUACAUGCGGGCUGGCCCGUUAGCCCGGGAGCCCGUAUAAGGCCGGACUCGGGCUCUAUGAUUCCAGCCUGUAUUUAAAUAGGGUUUUUUAGUCCGACCCUGAAAAGUCCGCAACCCGCUCGGCCCGACCCGAAAUGGGCCGGAUAGCCCAUUUUGACAGCUCUAGUUCAGAUGGAUCACUAAAAUUAAUUAUAAUAUAUAAACAUAAAUUAAAGUUGUAAUAAAAACAUUAAGUAAGAAGUUGAAAUGACGAAGUUUGACUAAAAGGUUAGGACGGAUACUUAAAUAAUUAUAUAUUUAACAACUACUAUAAAUUAUGAAACUUACAACUGUUAACUAAGAGAAUUUUCAGUUAACAGAAUCCCAACCCUUACAUAUAUAUAUAUAAGAAUGCAUGUCUCUGUAUAUAUAAAAACGCAUGGACCAAGUUUCUUAUUUUAUAUAGGCAAAAUGUUGGUGGUUAUUUUGUUAAGAGAGGUCGAAUUUAUCAGCACUAAGUAUCAAAAUUUGGGCAUCAUUCAUAUUACUUUAGUCCACACUACUUUCAACACUUCCGUGUCCAAAAACUGUUGUUAAUAGUAAAUUCAACCACUCAAUUUUCUCGGGAAUUUCUGUAAAAGAAAUAAUUCUAUAGAAUUUUUGUUAGGGGAGAAAUAAUUCUAGAGAAUUGAAAUGUAAGUUUAGAGUAACAAUUUUUUGAAGGAAAGUUUAGAGUAACAUAUUAGUCAAGAAUGUAUUACGUACAUAAUGAAAAUAGCCUCAUAUUAUAUAAUCAACACGAUAUACAUCAAGCUACUUUUACAGAUAAUAAAACAAAAAACAAAAAAAACAAAACAAUAGGCAACUACCAUGAUUAUUUUUCUGAUUAAUUUUUACCAAAAAUAAUAUAAAAAAUUUAGAUGAUGACACAGCCAUUAGGAUCCUCUUCAACGCUUACGGCACUGUUGUAAUAAGGAUUGUACUGUGGUUUCAUCCGAUGAUUAUAAUAAGCAGGUGCACCAUAGAAAAUGAAAGGAUCAAUUAUCACAUUUUCUUUUUUUGUAUCUUUCUUAUCAUCUUCCUUCUUUUUAUCAUCUUUUUUAGGUUCUUCUUUCUUUUCCUCUUUAGCUGGUCCAACUGAAAGUAUUUCAGCAUAACAAAUCUUCCUUAGCUUAGCCACUACACGUACUGGAUCAAUAUCUCCUAUUAAGGUCAUUUUCUUGUCUUUCAUGUCUAUUGAAACUGACUCAACCCCUGCAACAAUAUUACAAAUACAAUCUCAAUAUAUCACAAAAAUAAGAUCAAUGAACAAUUGAUACUACAAAUUAGAAUUGUGUCCAGUGUGACUGUACACAGUAAAUUACAUCUAAACCGUCUAAUCAGAUUUCAAUGCAGAUUUAACUUCUUUAGGAGUCUUUGGAUUGUGACCGCACACGGCCCAGACAUUGAUGCUAUAUGAUCAAUGAUUUUUUUUUCUUCAUGAAACAAAAAAGCAGAAUUGCAAUCAAUUCAAUACCUGAAAGGCCAGAGACUGCCUUCAUAGCCUUUUGCUUGAUUCUAUCUUCAUUUAUUUCCAACUUUAACACAACUUUCUGUCAUGGAAAAAUCAAGUAUUUGUUAGCACUGAACACUCACUUUCUUUCUACUACGAUAUUAUGCAAUGAAAUUACCAAAAAAGACAAAGCAAAGGUUGAAAAAUUGGAAUACUAAUAAUUAAAACAAAAAUUUAAAACAUAUAUAGGUCUUAAUUAACUCUCAAAUUAAGACUACCAAAUAAGUACUUAAAAUUCAGCCUUGAAAUUUUACAUAAGAUAAGGAAAAUUCAUCAAACAUACUUUAGCAAUGGUAAAGAAAAUAAAAGAGUGAUUUAAACUUUUAACCAGGGUAAAGUGCUAACCUUC